GAGAGAGAAGGACGACACCCCUUACAUUCAAAAUCUCUUCCGUCGCCACAUCUCCCUCUAUCUCUCCUUCACGCCAACACCAUCUCCAAGCUCGGAUCGUCGGACGACGUCUGCAUGCCGAAAGAACCCAGCGACGCCUUGCUCCUUUCUUUCGUGCAUCGGCCAUGACGCCCUCCAGUCGCGACGUGACUCGUCGAUGCCAUUUAGCCGCCGUCGCGUAGCCCAACUCACCGAAUGAUAGUUACCCCACGUCGAACCUUUCACGGGUCACGCAAAAAUGAAGUUCUUGGGUCGAUCUAAGUUUAGGGAUUCAAGUUUUAGAAGAGUUUGAGCCGCUAUCCAGUCAUUCGAAAGGUCGAAUUUAGGCGUUUGACACAAAUUUGGGCCAAAUUGAAGUGGGGAAAGCAUAUAAUCCCGGAGGAUCGAAUCAUUGAUUGUAGUGAACCAAGGGCCAAGCGUUGAUUGAUCUCUCGUCAUCGAACGUAGAUCUUCAUUAUUCUUUUGUAUGUUUGUAAUUAUUUUUCUUUUGUAAUGCAUCUUGGAGUGGUUAGAUGUAGCGAGAGUGAGGCCAAGAACUUGUAUUAGAAAUCCCUCUU